rnacentral:tRNA from 1 species
GGUGGCUCAGUGGUAAAGCACUUGUCUUGCACGCAUGAGGCCCUGGGUUCAAUUCCUCAGCACCA